UCGUACCUACGGGGCGCAGCAGUGAGGAAUAUUGGUCAAUGGGCGCAGGCCUGAACCAGCCAAGUCGCGUGAGGGAAGACUGCCCUAUGGGUUGUAAACCUCUUUUAUAAGGGAAGAAUAAUGACUACGUGUAGUCAGAUGCCCGUACCUUAUGAAUAAGCAUCGGCUAACUCCGUGCCAGCAGCCGCGGUAAUACGGAGGAUGCGAGCGUUAUCCGGAUUUAUUGGGUUUAAAGGGUGCGUAGGCGGAUCGUUAAGUCAGUGGUCAAAUUGAGGGGCUCAACCCCUUCCCGCCAUUGAAACUGG
rnacentral:rRNA from 1 species